CCAGAGUCUAUUAUACAGAGUGAAGUAAGUCAGAAAGACAAAUAUAAUAUAUGAUUUUAAAUGCCCAGCUUUCAUUGGGAGACAGAGAGAUUGAGGGAGAGAGAGAUGCAAAUAAACAAGACAAUGUGACCCUUACCCCGUUCCUUUUCCCUGUGAUCUUUUCCCUUAUUUUUCCACCAGGAAAAUGGUGGAAAAUAGCAACUGCCUUUGACGAGGGCCAGAGGUCUACAGAAACAGCUUCUGGAUGUGGUCCUAGAGGCAAAUAGCAAAUGAAGAGACAUCUAUUGAAGAAGAUCCAUGGAACUCCAGUAAGAAACCAUACGCCUCAAAACAGAGGGUGGCAGCAAAGGAACCCUUGUGGCCUGUGCCCCUGCCAACCUCAGAGACAGACUUGGCUUCAGAGGACAUGGAGGUUUUAAUCUGUGGAAGCACUGAGGCAAAAUAAGUAAGUGAACAAAGACAAAUGAAUCUUUCCUCAGAAGGCAUGAAGACAAAUUCUCAAAUAACAAAGCACUAUUUCCCAACGGUGCCAGCCAUCCAUUUUCUUCCUUCUCUCUGUGUUUCAAUUUGUGUUUCCAGGAGCAUUCUUGAAUUUUCAUGGUAUUUUCAACAUUUCCAUAUUUUCUCAGGGAACAUUUACAAUAUUAAAUGAUUCAUAGAACCUUUAAUUACAUAUGUAUAAAAUGUAUGUGCAUAAAAUGUAUUUGUUUUAAAUCUGUGUAAAAUGUAUGUAAAGUAAGUACCUACAUUUUAUACAUAAAUAUGUAUUCAUGUGUGUAUGUAUA